AGUCAAUGGCUUCAGACAGGUUUUCUAUUGUAUCAUCAAACGGACAGUAAACCAUCAGUGUCUGGAGAGGUUAAGUACAAAGGGUGAAAGAUGGGGGAUGCCGCGAUGGCAGAGUUUGGACCUGCUGCUCCAUUUCUCAGGAAGUCGGACAUAGAGCGUCUGGAGGCCCAAACUCGCCCCUUUGGCAUGAAGAAAGAAUGUUUUGUUCCUGAUGCUGCAGAGGAGUAUCUUAAAGCAUCUGUUAUUGGUCGAGAUGGUGAUAAAGUCACCUGUGAGACUUCAAAGGGAGCGGCAAGUUCAAGAUUUCAAAUAAAGACACAAAGUGCCUACG